GACGAACGCUGGCGGCGUGCUUAACACAUGCAAGUCGAGCGGUAAGGCCCUUUCGGGGGUACACGAGCGGCGAACGGGUGAGUAACACGUGGGUGACCUGCCCUCAGCUCUGGGAUAAGCCUGGGAAACCGGGUCUAAUACCGGAUAUGACUCCAUGACGCAUGUUGUGGGGUGGAAAGCCUUGUGCGGCUGAGGAUGGGCCCGCGGCCUAUCAGCUUGUUGGUGGGGUGAGGCCUACCAAGGCGACGACGGGUAGCCGGCCUGAGAGGGCGACCGGCCACACUGGGACUGAGACACGGCCCAGACUCCUACGGGAGGCAGCAGUGGGGGAAUCUUGCGCAAUGGGCGAAAGCCUGACGCAGCGACGCCGCGUGAGGGAUGACGCUCGUGUAC
rnacentral:rRNA from 1 species